rnacentral:rRNA from 1 species
AACGAACGCUGGCGGCGUGCCUAACACAUGCAAGUCGAACGCGAAAAUUACCUUCGGGUGAUGAGUAGAGUGGCGCACGGGUGAGUAACACGUGGGGUAACCUAUCCUAAGGUGGGGGAUAACUCCGGGAAACCGGAGCUAAUACCGCAUGAGACCACGCAGUAAUUCUGUGUGGGAAAAGUGGAGGACCUCUUCGGAGGCUUCAUGCCAUAGGCUGGGCCCGCGGCCCAUCAGUUUGUUGGUAGGGUAAUGGCCUACCAAGACUAAGACGGGUAGCUGGUCUGAGAGGAUGAUCAGCCACACUGGAACUGAGACACGGUCCAG